CGCGGCCUAUCAGCUUGUUGGUGGGGUGAUGGCCUACCAAGGCGACGACGGGUAGCCGGCCUGAGAGGGCGACCGGCCACACUGGGACUGAGACACGGCCCAGACUCCUACGGGAGGCAGCAGUGGGGAAUAUUGCACAAUGGGCGGAAGCCUGAUGCAGCGACGCCGCGUGAGGGAUGACGGCCUUCGGGUUGUAAACCUCUUUCAGCAGGGACGAAGCGCAAGUGACGGUACCUGCAGAAGAAGCGCCGGCCAACUACGUGCCAGCAGCCGCGGUAAGACGUAGGGCGCGAGCGUUGUCCGGAUUUAUUGGGCGUAAAGAGCUCGUAGGCGGCUUGUCGCGUCGACCGUGAAAACUUGGGGCUCAACUCCAAGCCUGCGGUCGAUACGGGCAGGCUAGAGUUCGGUAGGGGAGACUGGAAUUCCUGGUGUAGCGGUGAAAUGCGCAGAUAUCAGGAGGAACACCGGUGGCGAAGGCGGGUCUCUGGGCCGAUACCGACGCUGAGGAGCGAAAGCGUGGGGAGCGAACAGGAUUAGAUACCCUGGUAGUCCACGCUGUAAACGUUGGGCGCUAGGUGUGGGGGGCCUCUCCGGUUCUCUGUGCCGCAGCUAACGCAUCAAGCGCCCCGCCUGGGGAGUACGG
rnacentral:rRNA from 1 species